rnacentral:rRNA from 1 species
UACGUAGGGUGCAAGCGUUAUCCGGAAUUAUUGGGCGUAAAGAGCUCGUAGGCGGUUUGUCGUGUCUGCUGUGAAAACCCGAGGCUCAACCUCGGGCCUGCAGUGGGUACGGGCAGACUAGAGUGCGGUAGGGGAGAUUGGAAUUCCUGGUGUAGCGGUGGAAUGCGCAGAUAUCAGGAGGAACACCGAUGGCGAAGGCAGAUCUCUGGGCCGUUACUGACGCUGAGGAGCGAAAGCAUGGGGAGCGAACAGG